CACCCGGUAGCUCAGUGGUUAGAGCGCUGGCUUCCCAAGCAAGAGGACCGGGGUUUGAUUCCCUGGCCGGGUGG
rnacentral:tRNA from 1 species